UACGUAGGUGGCAAGCGUUGUCCGGAAUUAUUGGGCGUAAAGCGCGCGCAGGCGGUCCUUUAAGUCUGAUGUGAAAUCUCGCGGCUCAACCGCGAGCGGUCAUUGGAAACUGGGGGACUUGAGUGCAGAAGAGGAAAGCGGAAUUCCACGUGUAGCGGUGAAAUGCGUAGAGAUGUGGAGGAACACCAGUGGCGAAGGCGGCUUUCUGGUCUGUAACUGACGCUGAGGCGCGAAAGCGUGGGGAGCAAACAGGAUUAGAUACCCUUGUAGUCC
rnacentral:rRNA from 1 species